CACUCCAGUGGCUUAGUGGUUAGAGCAUCUGCCUUGGAUGCAGGAGGUUGUGAGUUUGAACCCUGGCUGAGUCA